ACUGCACACUUAAAGGUUCAAAGGCACUGCACACUUAAACAGCUCAAAACACUGUAUACUUAAAGGUUCGAAGGCACUGCACACUUCCAGAGCAAACAUUAAAUUCUACGACACCAUGGAAAGGUGGAUGGUCACAACUAUCAAGACCUGCGACGCCGGCAACAGGAGCAUGGACGAGGGUGAGCUACGAGAACAAACGUGGACUUGCAAAGUCCCGCGAGAUCCUAGUCUCAUGUACUGUGAGGCUGCUGUUGCUAGGUUCCCCACCUGGUGACCUGGGUCCUAGCGUCCCAUAUGUUACA